GACGAACGCUGGCGGCGCGCCUAACACAUGCAAGUCGAGCGAGAACCAGGGCUUGCCCUGGGGACAGCGGCGAACGGGUGCGUAACACGUGAGCAACCUGCCCCAAAGACCGGGACAACCCGAGGAAACUCGGACUAAUACCGGAUACCCUCACCGGGUCGCAUGGUCUGGUGAGGAAAUGGAUUCCGCUUUGGGAUGGGCUCGCGGUCUAUCAGCUUGUUGGUGGGGUAACGGCCUACCAAGGCAACGACGGAUAGCUGGUCUGAGAGGACGAUCAGCCACACUGGGACUGAGACACGGCCCAGACUCCUACGGGAGGCAGCAGUGGGGAAUCUUGCGCAAUGGGGGAAACCCUGACGCAGCGACGCCGCGUGCGGGAUGAAGGCC
rnacentral:rRNA from 1 species